rnacentral:lncRNA from 1 species
GACGAUGAAAGAACUGGUCAGUCGACUCAAAAUAGGUAGGAAAACCCUUGAGGUUUCACCUGGACUAAGGAGCCAAGGGUGAGAUGGUGUCUGAUGUUGAAGGACAUGCGGAGCCUCAAGGACGCAGCUUCUGCCACUGCUGCUGCCCGGGCAGCACUGUCUGAUGACGUGACUCCUGGAUCCACGGGGCGCGCAUGGGUCAAGUGGCAGUAACACAGUGGUUUUUUUUGUUGUUGUUUGUUUGUUUUAACUAUGUAUAUAGUGAAUACCUGAGGCAACUUUUUUUCUGAUAGAAAUUGGCAGCUUUUGCUCCUUCUCCUGAAUGAAGUCAUGAGUUAACAAGUUUCUGUUUAGGUAAGUCCCAGGUUAGCCUUUGAAACACAAUCUAAUAUUUCACAUAUUACAAUAGUAGGCCUGGAAAAUCCCCAGAGAGGAGUCACGUCUCUUCGGAGCCCUACGAGCCCAUCUCCCCACCCCAGGUUCCGGUUGUGCAUGAGAAACAGGACAGCUUGCUGCUCUUGUCUCAGAGGGGCGCAGAGCCUGCAGAGCAGAGGAAUGAUGCCCGCUCACCAGGGAGUAUAAGCUACUUGCCUUCAUUCUUCACCAAGCUUGAAAAUACAUCACCCAUGGUUAAAUCAAAGAAGCAGGAGAUUUUUCGUAAGUUGAACUCCUCUGGUGGAGGUGACUCUGAUAUGGGUAAGUGGGAUUUCUUUCAUGAACCCCAAAUAAAACAUGCAUUAAUAAUGAUAUCUCCA